ensembl:lncRNA
CUCUUUUCAAGCUAGCCAAUGAAAGACUGAAUGUUUAAAAUCAAAAUGCUUAAAUAUGCCUGUUAUAUCUCACAAGUGUAGUGUACUUGCUUUCCCUUACAUUACAAACCACACAUUAUGGAUGCUGGAAUUUAAUUCAGCCCACUGCAGCAAUAAAACACUGUAAGCAAAACCCUGAAAUGAGGCUUCAUAGCCUCUAGUCAUCCCCACAGGAAGAUGUUGACAGUACCGAGGGCAUCCUUAAGCACCUGGAAAUUGCAUAGAAAGGGUUACCAAUACAAUUUGGAUACACAAGUCAUUGCUCAAAAUUCAGGUGUUAAGUUACCUGUACCCACUUCUUUUCUUCCUGACAAGUUUACACUGUUAAAUGGGGGAUCCUUUGCACAGCCCUUUACACUGACUGUGCAUAGAACCUCUUCUGUCUCUGGAAAACUGGCACUGACAAUCUGCCUUGCAGUAACAAGAGAAAUAGGUCACACCUCUGGGAGGAGAGAUUGAGGGUCACAAAUUAUUUCACAAAAAGGAUGAAGGAGAACUGAUGGUUUUCAUCUUUGUGACAUUUGCACUGGCAUAACAAUUCACACACUAAUUUAUGUAAAACCAGUGGUAAUUGACAGUAGAUUAUCAAGAGAUACACCAGAAUGCUCUUUUUUGGUUUUUGCUUCCUCCCAUCUUAAUUUCAGAUUGAACUGAUUUCUGCUCAGAGCAACAAAACAAAGAUAUUUCACAAGAAGAAUGCUACUGACAUUAAAACUCCAUUGAUUCAACAAAUAGCAUACCAUCUUGUUUAAGAUUAUUUAAUGGCAGGAUUCCAAAUUCCAGUUUAAAAUUCAUAGGCUUUAAUCAUAGAAUCAUAGAAUAGUUAGGGUUGGAAGGGACCUUUAGUAUCAUCUAGUUCCAACACACUUGCUAUAGGCAGGGACACCUCUGUCUGGACCAGCACUUCACCACCCUCACAGUAAAUAAUUUCUUCCUAAUAUCUAGUCUAAAUCCACACCCUUCCAGCUCAAAACUAUUUCCACUUUUCCUGAUGCUACUGGCCCUUCUAAAAAGUCCCUCCCCAGCUUUCCUGUAGUCCCCUUUCAAGUACUGGAAGGCUGCUACAAAAUCUUCUUCAGAGCCUUCUCUUCUCCAGGCUAUGGAGCGUAGAGGAGGUGCUCCAGCCCUCUGAUCAUCUUCGUGGCCCUCCUCUGAACCUGCUCAAAGAACUCCAUGUCCUUCUUGUGCUGGGAGCUCCAGAACCAGAUGCAGUACUCUAGGUGAGGUCUUUCCACAGAGUAGAGCGUCAGAAUCACCUCCUUUGACUUCCAGGUCAUACUUUUCUUGAUGCAACCCAGGAUACAGUUGGCCUUCUGGGCUGGAAGUGCACACUUGCCAGCUCUUGUUGAAUCUUUCAUCAAUCACACAGUCAAAUCCUUCUUUUCAGGGCUGCUCUCAAGCCAUUUUCCACCCAACCUGUAUCUGUGCUUGAGAGUGCCUUGACCCAGGUGUAGGACUUCACCUCUUUGAACUUCAUGAGGUUGGCAUGGGCCCACCUCUCAAGCCUGUCCAGGUCCCUCUGAAUGGCAUUCCUUCCCUCUAGCGUGUUAACUAUACAACUCAGCUUGAUGUCACCUGCAAACUUGCUGAGGGUGCAAUCCAACUGUCCAUGUUGCCUACAAAGAUAUUAUAUAAUACCAAUCCCAACACCAAUCCCUGAGGAACGCCACUCAUCUCAUCAUCAAUCUCCGCUUGGAAACUGAGCUAUUGACCACAACUUUCUGAGUGCAACCAUCCAGCCAAUCCCUUAUUCAGUGAGUAGUCCAUCCAUCAAAUUUAUUUUCUUCCAAUUUGAUGACCAGGAUGUUGUGUGGGACAGUGUCAAAUGCUUUGCACAAGUCCAGGUAGAUGACAUCAUUUACUUUUCCUUUAUACAUUGAUGCUGUAACUCCAUCAUAAAAGGCCACCAUGUCUGUCAGGCAUGACUUAUCCUUGGUGAAGUCACGUUGGUUACCACGAGUCACCUUGUCUUUAUUUCCCAUGUGCCUUAGUAGAGCCUUCAGGAGGAUCUGUUCCAUGAUCUUGCCAGGCACAGUGGUGAGACUGACUGGCCUCUAGCUCCCUGGAUCUUCUUUUUUUCCUUCUUGAAAAUGGGGAUUAUGUUUCCCCUUUUCCAGUUGGUGGGAACUUCACUAGACUGCCAUGACCUUUCAAAUAUGAUGAAUAGCAGCUUGGCAUCUUCAGCCACUUCCCUCAUAACUCAUGGAUAGUUCUUGUUGGGUCCUAUGGAUUUGUGCACCUUCAGGUUCUUUAGAUGGUCUCAAAAUAAAUAAAUCAUUAAGAAAAUUAUAAUCAAAUUAAUAAAUCAUCUACAAUAAUGGUCUGAAUUUCAGAAGCAUAACAAAUAUGGUAUGUUUUAGAUUUUAUCGCAAAUUAUAUUUAAUAUAGUUAGCAUGAAUGUAUGGCACAUGAUUCUGUCAUAAAUCAUUUUUGUACAACAGGAAUACAGUAGUGUCAGUAUCUCUUAGCAUAUUUUGGGGCGAAAAAAACACCUGUCUGCAAUUUUGAUCACUCUUGCCCCUUUCAGACUCCACAGUAAUAGUAAAAUUUCUUUUAUCUCCAUAUUGUACACUGGCAGAAUGAAGCUUUUUUUAUUAUACAAUCUUUCUCAGGGUUUUUCAGAAUGACAUUGGUUAUGCUAUAUAUAUAAUCAAAAAAUAACUCCCCUGUGUGAGACAAGAAGGAUAAAU